rnacentral:rRNA from 1 species
AGUGGCGAACGGGUGAGUAACACGUGAGCAACCUGCCCCUGACUCUGGGAUAAGCGCUGGAAACGGCGUCUAAUACUGGAUAUGUCCCAUCACCGCAUGGUGUGUGGGUGGAAAGAUUUUUCGGUUGGGGAUGGGCUCGCGGCCUAUCAGCUUGUUGGUGAGGUAAUGGCUCACCAAGGCGUCGACGGGUAGCCGGCCUGAGAGGGUGACCGGCCACACUGGGACUGAGACACGGCCCAGACUCCUACGGGAGGCAGCAGUGGGGAAUAUUGCACAAUGGGCGGAAGCCUGAUGCAGCAACGCCGCGUGAGGGAUGACGGCCUUCGGGUUGUAAACCUCUUUUAGCAGGGAAGAAACGAGAGUGACGGUACCUGCAGAAAAAGCACCGGCUAACUACGUGCCAGCAGCCGCGGUAAUACGUAGGGUGCAAGCGUUAUCCGGAAUUAUUGGGCGUAAAGAGCUCGUAGGCGGUCUGUCGCGUCUGCUGUGAAAUUCCGAGGCUCAACCUCGGGCUUGCAGUGGGUACGGGCAGACUAGAGUGCGGUAGGGGAGAUUGGAAUUCCUGGUGUAGCGGUGGAAUGCGCAGAUAUCAGGAGGAACACCGAUGGCGAAGGCAGAUCUCUGGGCCGUAACUGACGCUGAGGAGCGAAAGGGUGGGGAGCAAACAGGCUUAGAUACCCUGGUAGUCCACCCCGUAAACGUUGGGAACUAGUUGUGGGGUCCUUUCCACGGAUUCCGUGACGCAGCUAACGCAUUAAGUUCCCCGCCUGGGGAGUACGGCCGCAAGGCUAAAACUCAAAGGAAUUGACGGGGACCCGCACAAGCGGCGGAGCAUGCGGAUUAAUUCGAUGCAACGCGAAGAACCUUACCAAGGCUUGACAUACACGAGAACGGGCCAGAAAUGGUCAACUCUUUGGACACUCGUGAACAGGUGGUGCAUGGUUGUCGUCAGCUCGUGUCGUGAGAUGUUGGGUUAAGUCCCGCAACGAGCGCAACCCUCGUUCUAUGUUGCCAGCACGUAAUGGUGGGAACUCAUGGGAUACUGCCGGGGUCAACUCGGAGGAAGGUGGGGAUGACGUCAAAUCAUCAUGCCCCUUAUGUCUUGGGCUUCACGCAUGCUACAAUGGCCGGUACAAUGGGCUGCAAUACCGUGAGGUGGAGCGAAUCCCAAAAAGCCGGUCCCAGUUCGGAUUGAGGUCUGCAACUCGACCUCAUGAAGUCGGAGUCGCUAGUAAUCGCAGAUCAGCAACGCUGCGGUGAAUACGUUCCCGGGUCUUGUACACACCGCCCGUC